rnacentral:rRNA from 1 species
CGUGCCUACGGGGGGCAGCAGUGGGGAAUAUUGCACAAUGGGCGAAAGCCUGAUGCAGCAACGCCGCGUGAAGGAAGAAGGCCUUCGGGUCGUAAACUUCUGUCCUUGGGGAAGAAGAACUGACGGUACCCAAGGAGGAAGCCCCGGCUAACUACGUGCCAGCAGCCGCGGUAAUACGUAGGGGGCAAGCGUUAUCCGGAAUUAUUGGGCGUAAAGAGUACGUAGGUGGCAACCUAAGCGCAGGGUUUCAGGCAAUGGCUCAACCAUUGUUCGCCCGUCGAACUGGGCAGCUGGAGUG